UGAUGGUGCUCGACACCCAUCCAAUCCAUUUAGACUGGGAACGUUCGUUCAUUCUAUCGAUUAUUUUAGUAGUAGAUUAAUCAAUUAACUAUUUAUUUUAUUUCCAAUGAUCAAGUAAUCGGAUAAGGAACAUAAAAAAUUAAAAUACCUGAGCUGAGCCUCACAUGGUACAGUAUAUUAAAAAAAAAAAAAAAAGGAUCUAUGUACAACAAAAGAACAAUUGACUAACUUACAUAGCAAAAGUCCGCUAGCUUAAAUGCUAUAAAAUGCUAACGCUUUUUUACAAUGCUCUUAACAAAUGGCUCAGUUACAUAUUCCCAGAAAAAACGGCUAACUAUACCUUUAAACUAAAUUCCGAAUGCAUUCAAAAAACCAUUAGCUCAAACAAAAACUUAGCUUAUGUUGGUCUUAACAGGGAGCAGAUGGAUUCAGCCAUGUGAAAUGAGAUAGACUAGAGGGCCGUGUAUCCACCCAAAUCAAUGAAAAUAAAUGCAAACACUUUCAAAACAAACCAUUACAACGCCACUUUAAUUAAACGAAUACUUGAAGCAGCAAAAUUUAAUUUGAAUCUUUUUUUUCUAAUCGAAUACUCGAGUUAAUCGAUUAAUCGUUUCGGCACUAAUCCGACACCAGAGCAUUCGCAGUCAUUCGGUCUGAUUUUUCGGGGCAUUUACAGGCAUUACAGGGCAUUUACCUGUUGAGUUUGAGUCACUACCUAAUCAUUUGGGUGAUUCCCAGGUCACUUCCUGUUCUGUAACUCGAAACAAACAAGAAGUGACUCAUAAAAUACCCCCAAAUCAACAGGAAGUAUCUGAAAAUCAACAGGUAAAUGACCUUAAAUGGCCCAAAAUGACCUCAUUGCCUGGCAUUGGCUGCCAGUGACAGCCAUAGACAUUCGUUCAUUCGCUGCCAUCCCUCCCACUUCAAACGGAUUGGACGUCUACGAGUGAUACUCAUUCCAAUUUACAGCAGAAGCUUGUUUUUCUGUUUAUUAGUUGUUUGUAGAAUGAUUUCCUGACCAACGUAUCAAUAAUCAUUGUAUCGCCAUAUCGUCAGAUCAUCGUUAUCGUGAGCUUUGUAUCGGAAAUCGUAUCGUAUCGUGAGGUAACAAGAGGUUCCCACUCCUACUUAUUAUUAUCACGAGUCACUGCCGACAGACAAAAAUUAGCGUGUAUUGGCCUGCAAAUCUGCCCAUACAAAGUCGCCGCUGAUAGCUGGAUAAACAAUCCAAAGGAAUUGCCUGCAGUGGAGUUCGGAAACAUCUACAACUACCUCAUAAAGUCACCCAGUAAUUUGACCUUUAUCAAUUAUGUGGAAUAUGUACUGUGUGGAACUAAGAAAACUGGUAGUAUAUACGGAGUGAUUAUUUCUGCCAUAACCGGUAAUUCACCUCCAAGCGUUAUUUAGCCGUGAACACGUCACGGCAAAAUAACCAAUUCCCACUAGGCCAAUAAUAUAAUGAUUGACCGAUCAGAGCAGUCCACGUCAAAAGAAAAAUAACGCUUUGCGAGUUGUCGGUUACGGUAAAAAUAACCACUGCCUAGUCUAUUGAUUCCUAGCAGCUAAUUGGGGCAAAAAAAUCGAUUCAACUUUACUCACAAGUAAUAAAAUGUUGGCUGCAAACGUAAAUGUGCCUGGAUUUAGGUUCCCACUGGUGAGAAUGGUCCACGGAACCGACUUCUUUUACUGUUCCCUGAUUGAUUGCUUUCAGCCAUUUACUUGUCAUUUUCUUCUCACGAGGAAGAAUGAACAACUUCAAAUGCGGCUCCGAACUCUUCCUUGUGCUACAACUCGCAACACGGCAACUUUUAGUCAUUCCGACGGAAAAAAAGACCACAAAUAAGACCAAAGUUCAACGCAUUUGUACUACAAUGCAGGAUAAAGCAACUGCUUGUGACUCGUGCUUUGCCCCCAUUUAAAUAUGGCGACGCUUUGUUGUGGCUGGUGACGUCAUUAAUGCCCGGAUGUCCGACCACUAGAAUGUGUCUGGAGGAGAGAGAGGAAGUGCGCGGAUAACAAACGAGGUUGGAAAAACAGCUUGUUUUGGUGAUUGCUUGUUCAGCGUGGUUGUGGCCAACAGUAACCUUUAAUCCUGCAAUAAAAAGUAGGUGAGGCCAACUCUCCGUGCGUUGUCUAUAUCCAGCGUGACGCUACAAUAGAUAUUCCCGACAUUUUAAUUGGGUGGGCACGACUCACGUCUGGGUGGGCCGUGGCCACCCCGGCCCCGUCCAUACAUCCGACCCCGCUAGAAAACACAGAGAAACAGGCAACUUUUUUGAGAAAAACUAUAAAGGUAAAUGAGAAAGCCCUCAAAGCCUUGUUGCCAAACUUGUUGCUAAAUCCCCAAAAGUCCCACGUUGUGGCAGAGACGUUGAGACUACCUGCCUGCAAAGACAUUGUCAGCGAGAUGCUCGGCCGUGACGCGAUUAAAGACAUUGCUAAAGUCCCCCUGUCUGAUAAUUUGGAGCUUUUCAAGCCAAACUGCUAUAAAAACGGAGAGAGACAGAGCUGUUGAAGAAGAUUCCUGCCAGGAUAUCGUCUUUGUGUUCAUCUAAACAGGCUCAAGUUCCACACUAAUUGCGGCAGGUUUCCGAGCAGAGGAAACCCCAGUGGGCCUGGAGGAAGACGACCUGUGUUUUUGUUGUAAAGUAACCACAGCAGAACCAAAAGCAGCACCAGCAGCAAAAUUGGUCCAGAAAGCUCCAUGACACCUACACAACUAGGGGUUACUCUCAAAUGGAAGACAAAGUGGAGUUGGCAACCCUAUGUGCCACCCACUUGAAGGGGGUAGAAAGAGGAGAGGAAGGCGGACGUUGGACAACGCCAAGAGGCCGCCAUAGGAUGGAGCAACACCUCUGGGAGGUUUUUUUUUCUUGUCUCUUGUGACCUCACAUAGCUGAACUCUUUGGCUGCCCUUGACAGCAAUACACAUCAAUAGCUGUUUUAAGUAUCAAUUUCCCUUGUUUACUAACUACCACAACACAUACUCUGUGACCUGAACUGGAAGUACACUUAAAAAAAUUACUCCAGUAGGUUGUAAAGUUUACUAAAAGACAAUGUGCAUCUUCAGCAAGAGCACAUCAUGUUUCCAAGGUGAGCAGUCCAUACAUAAAUGUGAACAAUGAAUGAGUAGCUAGAGUAGAUCAUGUUGAUGCAACAUAAUGUUAACGUGCCUUUCCAACCAAUUGCAAUAGUCUCGUCAUUUCUCGCGAGAUUUAAAAGGAGGGUUGCCAACUCCCUAAGUGACACCUCAUUGGUAGAGCCGGCCGGCCCAAUAACCGUCACCAUUUAAUUAUUAUUUUGUUUGUGAAAAGUGAUUUUUUUUUUUUAAUUAGAUGGGGCUUUGCAAGGCACAGGCCUAGCUAGUAAAAUUCUUCAACUUUAUUUUUAUUUCUUUCAUACAUAAUCUUAUUAUCCACGUUUUUUCGGCGAACUGGAGACUCCAAACCGUUUGACUGACCGGCACCGUUUAAAUAUCAAAAAAUGACCGGAAUUCCAUUCAUUUUUAACAGCAAGCAUUUUCACAUCAUUUUCAAUGACAGGAAAACAUAGGUGGUUGUGAUUUUUGACCACUUACCGUUACAGCCCAUUGACUUUGAAGUGGCGCCUAAGUAAGUCAAUACCACUGACAGCUAUGUACGUCCAUGCCAUUGACUAUCAUGUAUUUCGCUACUAUUGACGCCAAUGUACUGGAUUCCAUUGAGGCAUGUAUAAAUUGAUGCCAUUGACGGCCAUUUAUGUUAAAAUUAGGGCUGUCAAAUGAUUACAAUUUUUAAUCGAGUUAAUCACAGCUUAGAAAUUAACUCAUCGUAAUUAAUCGCAAUUCAAACCAUCUAUAAAAUAUGCCAUACUUUUCUCUAAAUUAUUGUUGGAAUGGAAAGAUAAGACAAUAUGGAUGUAUACAUUCAACAUACUGUACAUAAGUACUGUUUUUGUUUAUUAUAUCAAUUAAGCCACAAGAUGGCAUUAACAAUAUUCUUUCAACAUUCUUUCUGUGAAAGGGAUCCACGGAUAGAUUGUUAAAGGAUAAAUGUGAGUUUGUAUAUUGUGACUAAAUAUUGCCAUGUAGUGUAUUUGUUGAGCUUUCAGUAAAAGUUAAUGUAGUGACAAAACUGUUCUGCCCAAAUGCAUGAUGGGAAGUGGGUAACCAUGACUGUGUGUAGCGGUUGCAAAUACUAUAUCGUCUCUGUGUUGUGUACAAUGUAGGGUGUUAAGAAAAAGAGCAAUUCCUGUUAGUCUUCCCAACGUUGCUCGCCUCAAUAGUUAGUAUUGUUGUGGAAGACAUGUCAAAGCUAUAGAUAAAUAAAAGCACGGUCCAAAUGAAUGCCUGCAUCCACUCUACUCACCUGUCACUGCCUCUUAACUCUAUAUAUGCGUAGAACGGCGAAAUUGAAAUCUGUUUACGGCAAUGUGUGAGUGGGUCGUUCCGUGCAUGCAUUAAAUAUUUUAACGUGAUUAAUUUAAAAAAUUAAUUACCGCCCGUUAACGCGAUAAAUUCGACAGUCCUAGUUGUGCCUUAUGUUGGUUCAACAUGUCUGCUUUAUGUUAAAAGAACACAAUUGCUUAAUACUGAAGGAAAGCAAUUUAAUCAGGUGAAAAUUAUGUAUUUCUUUAAUGUCGGUUCAACAUGUAUUUUGGGGUGACCAUGAGUGCCUUAUGUUGGCUCAACAAGAGUGCGUUAUGUUCGCGCAACAUAAGUGCUAAUGUUGGCGAGACGUGUGCUUUAUGUUAAAAGGACACAAUUGCUAAAUGCUGAAGGAAAGCAAUAUUAUCAGGUGCAAAUUCUUUCCAUAAUUUUUUUUAUGUCAGUUCAACACCCCAUUUUUUUGAGUGUAGGUUUGUAUAACCAAAACCAGUAUUUAAUAUUUACACUAGUUCCAAUUGAGAGGAUUCAAAAACAUAUGGCUAAUAUGUAAUAUUUUGCUUACCUUAUUAUUAUUCAUUCAUUUAACUGACUAUAGGAAGGUGGCGUGGUACACCCUAAACUGGAUGCCUUUUCAUUAGAAUUGAUAAUAAUAAAAUGUUCCUUUGAUAAUGUUCCUUUUCUUAUUUGUCAUUUUUUACUGCAAAUAUUGUUUGUUCAAAUUAUUUUAC